UAGAGAGGGGAUCCGCCUUGUUCACGAAGCCUCUGGUUUUGCAGUUAACUUUCUGGGCCAGGCAUUGAUUCAUAAAGAGGGUGAGGUGUUUCAGACAGACAGACUCAGAGUCUAGGUGGUUCAGCUCCUGGAGUGUGAACUGAGUAAGGCUUGGCUGCCUGCUCUUUGCUUCUCCUGCAAACACCAGACGUCGCCCUAGCAAAGUAUUUAGGCUUGCACCCAGCAUGGUCACUGCAGGACCAGCCCAGCCUGGGCAUUUCCUGUGAUUCAAGGUUGCCACGUUUCUCCAAAGUGAGGGCCCGCGGAGGGCCCUCUGCCAGCGGUCCCUGUGUUACGAGUGCCUUCCCUAACCAGUCGUGCAGAUAUGGCUACGUCACCAACUCCAAGGUGAAGUUUGUCAUGGUGGUAGAUUCCUCCAACACAGCCCUUCGAGACAACGAAAUUCGCAGCAUGUUCCGGAAGCUACACAACUCCUACACGGACGUGAUGUGCAACCCCUUCUACAACCCGGGGGACCACAUCCAGUCCAGGGCCUUUGAUAACAUGGUGACGUCGAUGAUGAUACAGGUGUGCUGAGUGAGCUGUGCUGCCAGCCAUCGCAGAGGAGCCCGCGUGCGACUGUGGUGGGGCCGUCGGUCUGUUCUCGUCACCUCUUCCUGAAUGGGACGCCUGGGGCUUUUAGGGCAGGCAGCUGUGCAUGUUCUGUCAACUAAAGGUCUUGU
rnacentral:sRNA from 1 species